GUCCGAAAAAAUGGUUCCGUUCGCCAGAAAUGUACUGCAAAAAGUCUAUUUUCGAAAAAGAAAAUUUGUUCCACAAUUUUUCAUACCCAAUCAUGUAUGAUAACUGACAAGCCCGAAAAACGAAAAGCGAGCGGAUUGACACAAGGGACUAUACUAUUACGGCAG